UUCGGCCCUCGGGGAACUGCUCAGUAACACGUGGAUAACCUAACCUGAAGUGGGGGAUAAUCUCGGAAAACUGAGGAUAAUACCCCAUAGGUCUUCGAUACUGGAAUGUUCCUAGGCUGAAAGCCAAGGCGCUUCAGGAUGGGUCUGCGGCCUAUCAGGUUGUAGUGAGUGUAAAGGCACUCACUAGCCGACGACGGGUACGGGCCAUGGGAGUGGUAGCCCGGAGAUGGACUCUGAGACACGAGUCCAGGCCCUACGGGGCGCAGCAGGCGCGAAAACUUCGCAAUGCGCGGAAGCGCGACGAGGGGAUUCCAAGUGCAUGCACUCUGUGUAUGCUGUUUACUAGUCUAAAACGCUAGUAGAGUAAGGGCUGGGUAAGACUGGUGCCAGCCGCCGCGGUAAUACCAGCGGC
rnacentral:rRNA from 1 species